AUUGAACGCUGGCAGCAGGCCUAACACAUGCAAGUCGAGCGGAUGAAGGGAGCUUGCUCCUGGAUUCAGCGGCGGACGGGUGAGUAAUGCCUAGGAAUCUGCCUGGUAGUGGGGGAUAACGUCCGGAAACGGGCGCUAAUACCGCAUACGUCCUGAGGGAGAAAGUGGGGGAUCUUCGGACCUCACGCUAUCAGAUGAGCCUAGGUCGGAUUAGCUAGUUGGUGGGGUAAAGGCCUACCAAGGCGACGAUCCGUAACUGGUCUGAGAGGAUGAUCAGUCACACUGGAACUGAGACACGGUCCAGACUCCUACGGGAGGCAGCAGUGGGGAAUAUUGGACAAUGGGCGAAGGCCUGAUCCAGCCAUGCCGCGUGUGUGAAGAAGGUCUUCGGAUUGUAAAGCACUUUAAGUUGGGAGGAAGGGCAGUAAGUUAAUACCUUGCUGUUUUGACGUUACCAACAGAAUAAGCACCGGCUAACUUCGUG
rnacentral:rRNA from 1 species